GUGAGAGGGAGAAUCAGGAGGAAGAGGAGGGAUAAAUGGAUCGGCGGACGGAGAUUUGGGAGGGGAUGGGGCGGCCGGUGCCGGAGCCGCCACAGCUGCUGCAGAACAUACGGCCAGAGCCGGAGCAGGUACGGCAGCCGAUGUCGCCGUCGGACCAGCGGGAGCAGAGGCAGGGGACGCGGCCGGUGCCGUUGCAGGAGGGGCAGCGGGGGAAGGAGCCGGCCAUGGGCUUGUGGUCCAUGACGGACUUGACGAGGACGGCGCCGGCGAGGACGCUGAGGCCGGUGGCUAGUUGGGUGAGGACGAUGGGAACCAUGGUUGAGGGGUUGCAGAGAGAGGAGGG
rnacentral:misc_RNA from 1 species